GCCAGACUCCUACGGGAGGCAGCAGUGGGGAAUAUUGCACAAUGGGGGAAACCCUGAUGCAGCGACGCCGCGUGAGUGAAGAAGUAUUUCGGUAUGUAAAGCUCUAUCAGCAGGGAAGAAAUAGCGACCUUUGGGUCGCCAGACGGUACCUGAUUAAGAAGCCCCGGCUAACUACGUGCCAGCAGCCGCGGUAAUACGUAGGGGGCAAGCGUUAUCCGGAUUUACUGGGUGUAAAGGGAGCGUAGACGGCAGCGCAAGUCUGAAGUGAAAUGCCGGGGCUUAACCCCGGAACUGCUUUGGAAACUGUGCAGCUAGAGUGCAGGAGAGGUAAGUGGAAUUCCUAGUGUAGCGGUGAAAUGCGUAGAUAUUAGGAGGAACACCAGUGGCGAAGGCGGCUUUCUGGACUGUAACUGACGUUGAGGCUCGAAAGCGUGGGGAGCAAACAGGAUUAGAUACCCUCGUAAA
rnacentral:rRNA from 1 species